ACUGUUCAACUGUACACAAUUAUUAUUCUGUUUAUGUUCAGGUCCAAUGAGAUUUGAGCAGAUUAGGUUCAUAUAGAGGCUGGGAUUAACCUCCACCCGUACGAUAAUCCGUGUCAGCAUAUUUCUUUGACACGUAGCUACACAAUAGAGAUGUUCCUUAAUUCGUUUCGAGAUUUUCUGUUUGAUUUACAGUUUUCUUCUUGAACUUGGGCACCUUGCAGCUCCCUGUCCGGUCUGCCACGACACUGACAGAUUCCUGGGCUGGACCGCCUUGGAUAAGCAUCCUAUGGUAUUUUGUUCAAGAUGGCGGUGGCGAGCAUGGAAAAGGACGCGAUAAACACCGAAGAUGAUCUUCACCUUAAUAAUUCGUUUGGAGAUUCUGGGCUUAUCUCCCCUGAUAAAGAAGACAUCUCUCGUAUUCUGACAGUUCCUUUCAGUGGACGGAUCAGAGGUGGGAUGAGGCCUGGGAAGAAAAUCAUUAUAAUGGGCAUCAUUGAUCCAGA